rnacentral:lncRNA from 1 species
GCGCCCGCCACCACACCCAGGAAUCCAACUUGCUGUUUGCUAUCACAUGUGCUAUACAUGCUGUUGAUGAAACUGCUAAAGGGGCUGAAUGUGACUGACGUCUUUGGAAGGAUGAGACUUAGCGUGCCUGUACAGUUGUGUCCAAAUGCUGUCCUCAUCUCCCAAUGAAAAGGGUUUUUCCUUAAGCCUCACAACAAUUUACAGCAUUGCCAGCAGCAUUCAGUACAUUCAGAACAGGAUAAUUUCACCCGCAGCUGAACUAGGGCCAUGCCUGGGACAGACAGAGAAUGGCCUUCCAGCAGACAUGCCAAGAAGCAAGCCAGGGUCAGUGAGUGAAGAGGAGGGCAGGCCCAUUUGAAGCAACACAGUUUAUGUAAGUGUGAUCUAACUGCUUUCACUGGAAAUGGGUCAGACUCCAGUUGAGAGAACCAGGGGCCUGAAUGACCCCAGCAAAAUCACUGUGGCAAUUCUUUCAAUCACCUCUGAGAAUAUGGCCCUGUGACGACAUAAUGACGUUUGGAUUAAUUCCAGUCGGCUGUGUUUUCCCCUCCUUUCUUGCCUCCCCGUAGUUGAUUUGCCAAAUUUUUUUUGUUUGCUUAAAUACGCGGAACUAAACAGGAUACAUUAUAUGACAGUCUGUGAUAAAUUUACCACUGGGAAUAGGGAAAAAGUAUGGGAUAAAGAAAUAGGUAUUUUUCGCCUCUCACAGCUGUGAUUCAGUUCUGACUCAAAAGGAAGUGUGCCACCUACUGAAUCACAGAAACCACUUCCUGUGGCUGUUUGGUUUAUUCUGGAGGAGCAUCAGGCCAAGUGCUGCCCUGCCCUGACCCUGACUGGCUCUUCAGAGCCAAGGCAUUCACAGCUUGAGGUGGUUUGGCCUCAGACUCUUGAGAACAUUGCAUAUUAAAUUACAAGUGUUUCGUUUCCUAGCAAGGAGUCUUUAGCAACAUGAAAACGAACGUGUGUUAUUUGCAAACCAAGUAUAUCAUUACUGAACCUGAAUAUCCUUACUUUUUCAUAAGAUACAUGAAAAGAAAGAAGGAGAGAAGGAAGAAAGGAGGGCGGAAGGAAAGGAAGAAGGGAGAGAAGAAGAGAAGAAAGAAGCAGAGAAAGGAAGAGAAAAGAAAUUACGGCCAGUGCGGUGGCUCACGCCUGUAAUCCUAGCACUUUGGGAGGCCUAAGCGGGCUGAUCACCUGAGGUCAGGAGUUCGUAAGCCAGCCUGGCCAACAUGGUGAAACCCUAUCUCUACUAAAAAUACAAAAAUCAGCAGGGCAUGGUGGUGCGUGCCUGUAAUCCCAGCUACCUGGGAGGCUGAGGUAGGAGAAUCGCUGGAACCCGAGAGGCGGAGGCUGCAGUGAGUUGAGAUCAUGUCACUGCACUCCAGGCUGGGCAACAGAGUGAGACUCUGUCUCAGAAAAAAAAAAAAAGAAAGAAAGAAAGAAAGAAAGUUACCAUUAGUUUUUUGUUGUAUUUGCAAGCAAAGACAAAAGCACCAAGGUACUUGUUUCCUUCUGUAAUUAGAGUUUCAAAUAGACUAAAAGUUUCUGCUCUUAGGUGGGUCUAGAGACUCUCCAGUACCUCAGGACCUCAGGACACAUGGGGUCUCUUGGUUGUUUUCUUUUCAUUGUUGUUGUUUAUUUUAUUUUUGUUUUUAUUUUUUAACUUUAAAACAAUUUUUUGUAGAUGAAUAUGCUUACAUAUGUUUGGGGGUUUUUUUGAGACAGGGUCUUGCUCUGUUGCCCAGGCUGGAGAGCGGUGGUUUAACCACAGCUCACUGCAGCCUCGACCUCCCAAGGUAGGGACUGCAGGUGUGUACACUGGGGUGCACCACCACACCCAGCUAAUUUUUAAAUUUUUUUUUGUAGAUAUUGUCUCACUCUGUUGGCCAGACUGGUCUUGAAAUCCUGGGCUCGAGCAAUUCUCCUGCCUCGGCCUCGUAACGCGUUAGGAUUACAAGCGUGAACACCGCACCUGGCCAGCAUGUGGUCUCUUAACCAGAGGAGGCCUCUUCUGAACUAGGUAGAGGUCCUGAGAAUUGAUUCUGAGAGUAAAAGGCUCUUUGUUCUCCUCAGAGUAGAUUAGAAUCCCUAAUGAUAGAGCAUCUAUUAUUCCUCUAGUGGUCCAUGCCCAACAGAUUCAUCCAAGAAUAGAUGAAGAUCUUUGUAAUGUUGUGCAAGUAAUCUAAUCACCCCACAGAAGAGCUGUGACUUAAAUUAUCCCAGAGUCGGCCCACCUGUUUUCAUAAAGAUCAAUGUAACUUGUAAAUUUCUUCAGUUCUCCUCACCUAUCAUCAUUUGACUAACAAAACCCAGAAAACUAGGCUAGUUAUGGUGGCCUAUGCAUAUAAUCCCAACUCUUUGAGAGGCCAGGGUGGGUGGAUUGCUUGAGUCCAGGAAUUCGAGACCAGCCUGGGCAACAAAGGGAGACCCUGCCUAUAUCCCAGCUAUGCAGGAGGCGAGGCCAGAGGAUUGCCUGAGCCUCAGAGGUUGAGGCUGUAGUGAGCCAUGAUUGCCCCACUACACUCCAGCCUGGAUGACAGAGUGAGACCCUGCCUUAAAAAUAAUAAUAAUAGUAAUAAUAUUUCAUAAAGAUACAGGAAACUAGAUUAUAAUUGACAUUUUCAAAGUGAAAUACUGUCUAGAAUGGUGCUUGGCCAACAGUAAGCUUUUUGUAAGUGGAAGUCAUUACUACUACUAUUUCUUUCAUUAUUAUUACCAUUACUACUUUUUUUUACAAAAAAAAAACCCUGGACAACACACUGAAACCAUUACUACUUCUACUACUAUAACUUAGGUUGCACCUGAUAGAGCCAGCAAUUUUUCCAAGGUAUGACAAUGGCCAUAUGUUUAAUGAUAUAAUUCUAUGGCUCAGUGUAUCUCAGCCUUUUUAAACCCUGCUCUUCUUUUGACAAUUGUAAAAAUCUUAAACUGACCUCCAGUUGAAAUCCUCUGUCAAGAAGAUAUUGUCGGCCAGGGGCGGUGGCUCACACCUGUAAUCCCAGCACUUUUGGAGGCCGAGGUGGGAGGAUCACUUGAGGUUAGGAGUUCAAGACCAGCCUGGCCAACAUAGUGAAACCCCAUCUCUACUAAAAAUACAAAAAUUAGGCAGGCAUGGUGGUGUGUGCCUGUAAUCCCAGCUACUCAGGAGGCUGAGGUAGGAGAAUUGCUUGAACCUGGCAGGGCAGAGGUUGCAGCAAGCCGAGAUCACGCCACUGCUCUCCAGCCUGGGUGAGACUGUCUCAAAAAAAAAAAAAAAAAAGAAAGAAAGUAAGAAAAAGAAGAAAUCCCAAUCUCUUCUUUUAUGUGGAUUCUUCCUCACUUGAAUAAUACUUUUCUUCCCCAGUAUUCUCCAUAUUAUCCCAGAGUCAGCCCCUCUGUUUUUGUAAAGAUCUACGUAACCUCCUCUAAGUUUCCCAGUUCUCCUCACCUAUCAUAUCAUUUGGCUCAACAAAGGGCAGGAAGCUAGAUUCUAAUUGAUAUUUUGAGGCCGGGAGCAGUGGCUCAUGCCUGUAAUCACAGCACUUUGGGAGGCUGAGGCGGGCAGAUCACUGGAGGUCAGGAGUUCGAGACCAGCCUGGCCAAUAUGGUGAAACCUCGUCUCUACUAAAAAUACAAAAAAUUAGCCAGGCUUGGUGGCUUGUACCUGUAAUCCCAGCUACUCAGGAGGCUGAGGCAGGAGAAUAGCUUAAACCUGGGAGGAAGAGGUUGCAGUGAGCCGAGAUUGCUCAAUUGCACCCCAGCCUGGGUGACAGAGCAAAACUCCAUCUCAAAAACAAACAAACGAACAAACCUGAUAUUUUCAAAAUUGAGGCAAUUAUAACAGCUAUUUAGCCAAGCAUUAUGAUAGCAAUAAUAGCAAGAAAAUAAAUUAGUUAACAAAUGAGUCUCAGAAGCCCAAUGAUUUUUAUUUUAUUUUUAUUUUUUGAACUUUUAUUUUAGAAUCAGGGGAUACAUGUGCAGGUUUGUUACCCGGGUAUAUUGCAUGAUGCUGAGUUUUGGAGUAUGCAUGAAUCCAACCUGUCAUCCAGGUAGUGAGUAUAGUACCCAACAGAUAGUUUUUUUAACAUUUACUUCACUCCCUUCCCCAAUCUUGUAUUCCCCUGUGUCUACUGUUCCCAUUUUUAUGACUGUGCCAACAAUAAUUUUUUUUCUUUUUUCUUUAAAUAGAGAUGGGGGUCUCUAUUUAAAGAGCCUCCCAAAGUGCUAGGAUUACAGGUGUGAUCCAUUGCACCUGGCCCAUGCCAACAAUAUUUGAAACCCUUAUCUGCGUGUACAAGUUUGCUACUGGUUUUGUUUUGCUCAUUAAUACAUCCCAAGCAUCUAUACCUGGCUUGUAGUACCAGCAUGUAGUAGGUGCUUAAUAAAUAUUUAUUGAAUAAAUAAAUUAGUUUGACAUUAGUUUAACAUCUCAAGUAAAACAAAAUACCAUUCAAUUAAUUCUCUUCUUCUACUUUUUUCUUUUAAGAGAGACAAAUAGUCACACAUACAUCAGCAGGAGAGGAUACAAUUUCCUGUGUUUAAGUUUUUAUGAGUUACUUUAGUUCAAAUGUCACAGAAAAUUAUAUUGAACUCUUGACCAAUCUAUCUAUUUUUUCCAUUGGAGUAUUGACCCAAAUAAGAAAUAGCAUAAAGGAAAAAUUAUUUUUUGGCAGAAAAAUAUUCUCUCUAAAUUCUUGUGUGUUUUGUUUUGAUUUUUUCCUUAGUGACUGGAGGCCAGUUUCAAUCCACUGAAGCACAGAUUCCAAAUUUUCAAUCUGGUUUUCUUGAGUAGUGACUGAGUGCCAAAAAUGAAGCAAUGACACAACAUCACCAUCAAGACACUCCCCAGCACGCACACACAUGCCAGAGUCCAACACCAAGAUACUCCCCAGCACGCACACACACGCCAGAGUCCAGGCCAUAUUCGGGUGGCUUGCAAGCUUCUUCCCCCCAAGUAUUUACUCUCAAAAUAAUGGUUUUUGUUUUGUUUUGGUUUGGUUUGGUUUGUUUUUUUCCAAAUACAUUUCUUCCCUAUAUCUUUAACCAAUUCUCAUAAAAUUUUGUCUAAUACACUGGUCAGUGUAUUCCAGACCCUAAAAGAUAACAUAAUGAAACUAUCUAUGACUAAAAGGUAAUCAGGAUCUUCUACUUAUCCUUUUUUCCUCCCUCUUAAACUUUAAUUUUGAUACAUUUGGGAGUGAAAUGAUGACAAUAAAUGCAAAGUAAUUAUUGAAGAAACAGUAAUUUUGUAUUAGCUUACUGAAAAAAAAAAAAAAGAUAACCAAAUAUAUUUUGGCAGCCCCAAACGAGUCACAUGUGAAAUGCAGUGGGAGAGCAGUGUCCUGAAGGAAAAGGUGGCCUGCUGGACAGCCAAGAGAACAAACAUCCACUGCAAGUAAUAUGAGCUCUAAGUUUGGACUAGGCCUAUGUCUGCUCUGAGACUUGGGGCAAUUCACUUAAUCAGAGCCUUAAUCAGCUACGGACUAGCAAUAUCCAUACCCGCUACUUAUUUUGUAAAUCUCCUUUCUAAAGUUAACUCUAUUUAUUGUUCCAUAAUCCCAUAAAUUCUAGAAUCUUUUCCUGUUAUAGCCAAGUUGUCUAUCAUUGACAGAGAUAUUCACCUGGUUGUUUUGGCUUCUCUAAUCCUCCUGGUGAGAACACCUCCAAGGGAGCUUUCAGUGGCAUUUAAGGUCACUUGUGCUCUUGGUCCUAGAAACUGCCUUGAUAGUGGUUUUAGCUCACAUGAGGUAAGUCUUUAUUAUAUGCCCAACCUCUUUAUGCAUUACUUCAUUUAAUUGUAUACUAAUCCUUUGUCAUAGGUUAUCAGAGUGUUUGAUUAUAAGUUACAGGAAGAAAAAAAAAAACAAACUCCAAUUGACUAAAACAAUGGGGCAUUUUUUGACUCACAUAACAGAGAGUCUAGAGAGAAGGCACCUUCAGGUUUGGCUGAUGAAUCCUGUAUCUCUGCCUUGUCUCCAGGCCCCCAGGUUCUGCCUCUGUCCUGACAUCCAGUGUUGGAUUCCUCUUCACAUCAACUCCUCUCUGUAGGUUGGGCCAUCAGACCCUACCUCCUUAUUUAUGUUGAGCAAAGGAGAGAGAAUGCCUCUACAAACAAUGAAAAAAGUGAAAAAAAAAAUCUUUCUCCUCCUUAUAACUUUAGUUAGCUUAACUUUAGUCAGUUGCUUAGCUACUAAACAGUAGCUAUUGGGAGGUGGGAAGGAAUACUAUUGUGUAAUCAACUAAGGCUCAUACAGAGGAUUAGGGUUAUCUGAAUUGAUUUGAAUUAAUUAGAAUUUACUCUCAGAGCUGUGGCAAUUCCUUGAACCACACUGAUUGCUAUAAAGUGGAAGAGGAAUAGAUUGAAUUUUGGGGAGUCAACUACAAUGUGUACUACAGGUAAAUACUAUGAAUUUCCAAUUCACAGAUGAGAAAACUGAGGCAUGUGGUGGGAGGGAGGUUAUGUAAUUUGCCCAGUGUCACAGUUGAACCUAGGCAAAGGCCUAUCUCCAGGUCUAAACAAUUCAGUGGCCUCCUGUGUACAUUUCUGUCUCUCCUUUUUUAUCCACUGUGUCACCGAGGCUGGAUUGCAGUGGCUCGAUCAUGGAGAUCAUGGCUUUCUGUAGCCUUGAACUCCUGGGCUCAAGUGAUCCUCCUGCCUCAGCUUCCUGAGUGGCUGGGACUACAGGCUUGACAACACACCCGGCUAUCCCGUGUAUAUUUCUUGAGGGCUUAUGAUAUAUAAGAGAAACUCCAAAAUAAGAGGACGGUGUGCUAAGGGGAAGACCAAAGCACUAUCAAGAGGUAGAUUCAAUCGUACCCCUUCUAUUUACUAGUUGUGUGACUCUUUUGAAAAUGAGAAUAAUAGGCCAGGCUCGGUGGCUCCUGCCUGUAAUCCCAGCACUUUGGGAGGCUGAGGCAGGUAGAUCACCUGAGGUUAGAAGUUCAAGACCAGCCUAGCCAACAUGGCAAAACCCCAUCUCUAUUAAAAAUACAAAAAUUAGCCGGGAAUGGCAGCAUGUGCCUGUAGUUCCGGCUACUCAGGAGGCUGAGGCAGGAGAAUCACUUGAACCCAGGAGGCAGAGGUUGCAGUGAGCCGAGAUUGCGCUACUGCACUUCAGCCUGGGUGACAGCGAGACUCCAUCUCAAAAAAAAAAAAAAAGGAAGAAAAGAAAAGAAAAUGGGAAUAAUAAAACUUACUUACUGGAGCAGUAGCAAAGAUUAAAAUUUAGACCAUGCAGAAGAAUGUUUUUCAAAAUGACAUGACCUGGUAAUAGGAUAGAAAUGCAAAUUCCUGUUACUGCACCAGACCCACCAAAUAAGAAACUCUGGGGAUGGGACCCAGGACUAAGUACUUUAAUAAGCACUCCAGGUGAUUCUAAUGAUUGUUAAAGUUUGAGAACCACUGGUCUAACACAUUGCCUGGUACAUAAGCUCUUAUUUUGUUGUUAUUGUUCUAAGGACAAUGUGUGUAUUGACUUCUAUUUCCAGGAGUUCAUGACUUGGAGAACUAGGGAAAGGAAGACAAAAAUUCUUUAAUGCAGAACGAUACUGAUUGAUAAAUACCUGAAUAUAAUACAGGUUAAAUGUGCUUUGAAGAUUUAUAAAAGGUUGAAUUUAUUUCCAGCAAGAUGACUCUCAGAAGCCUUUAUAGAUUAGAGAAGAAAUGGAAAGGGGUAAAAAUAAUUAGGAACUAUAAAGCAGGGCAGACAAGUUUUCAAUGGUUACUGCCAAUGUGUAUACAGAAAGUUAGCUUGGCCAGGCAAAGUGGCUCAUGCUUGUAAUAUCAGCACUUUGGGAGGCCAAGGCGGGCAGGUCACCUGAGAUCAGGAGUUUGAGACCAGCCUGACCAACAUGGUGAAACUCUAUCUCUACUAAAAAUACACAAUUAGCCCAGCAUGGUAGAGCAUGCCUGUAAUCCCAGCUACUCAGGAGGCUGAGGCAGGAGAAUCGCUUGUACUUGGGAGGCAAAGGCUGCAGUGAGCUGAGAUCGUGCCAUUGCACUCCAUCCUGGGAAACAAGGGUGAAACUCCGUCUCCAGAAAAAAAAAAGUUACCUUGAAAUAUAUCAAUACAAACAAAUAAAUUAGAUAUUUCAUAUUGUACAGGAACAAAACCCAUCAGAAGAUGUCAGAAGAUAAGGAUUUUUGUCCUGAUGCUACACUUACCAGCUGUCCCUCAGUGUUCUACUUCUUAAAAAAAGAGAGAUGGAUAAACAGAGGCAACCCGAGGAUAAAGGCCUUGCUCAGUGUCACACAUUUCAGUCACUAAAUAAGACACAAUGGAUGCCAGUAUUCUCAUCCCCUCACAAAUAAAGAGCCUUCAAGCUCUUGCAGUCAACAAGAACUUUUGGAAUGAUUUCACUGCCUGAAAAGGCAGAUACAUAGGUGACACCCACAAAUAGGAAGAAAAUCAACCUGAACCUGAG